UGUUAAGUUUUAAGCCAUGCAUGUGUAAGUAUAAAGACCUUGAAGGAUGAAACUGCGGACGGCUCAUUACAACAGUUAUAGUUUCUUUGGUUAGUAUGAUAAGGAUAACUCUGUUAAUUGUAGAGCUAAUACUUGAGACGAUCCCUGUGCGGCAGCGCGGGGCGGCCACGAGGUGGUUGUAAGCGUUCCUUGAUGAAUUAGGGAAGGCGGACAAUUGUAGGAGGCACGGCCUCUCACAAGUAACCAAUGAGAAUAUCUGACCUAUCAACCUGAUGGUAAGGUAGUGGCUUACCAAGGUGAUAACGGGUAACGAGAAAUAAGGGUUUGAUAUCGGAGAGGGAGCUUUCAAAACGGCUACCACUUCUAAGGAAGGCAGCAGGCGAACACCUUGCCCACUCGAAGAACUCGGAGGCAGUGACGACAAAUAACGGGGGCGCGCCCUAGGGUGCGACCCUGGAAUGAGCCAGAAGUAAAGUCUCUGGCGAACGCGAUUGGAGGGCAAGUCUGGUGCCAGCAGCCGCGGUAAUUCCAGCUCCAAUAGUGUAUAUUAAAGUUGUUGUGAUUAAAAAGCUCGUAGUUGAAGGGCACAUGGGAUGGCAGGGGCGUCCUCCGGGGCAGCACCUCGCCGUGAUCCCAGGGCUGCCGCGCUUGCGCGGCUAUUUACUUUGAAUAAAUGUGCGUGCUCAAAGCAAGGCUUAGGCCAAUGCAGCAUGAAGCAUGGGAUAUCAAGGAGGGGACGACGCAGGAAGCGCGGCAACGCGUGGGUGGCGUGGUUUCGAGAGAAGGAUUAAUAGAAAGAGCUGGGGUGAUUUAUACGGAAAUGGGAGAGGUGAAAAUCCAUGAUCAUUUUAGGAUAAACAACAGCGAAAGCAUUUCACUUAAAUCUUUUCAUUAAUCAAGAACGAAAGUUAGGGGAUCGAAGACGAUUAGAUACCGUCGUAGUCCUAACUAUAAACGAUGUCAACGAGGGAUUGGAAUGAAUUUACGUUGCGCCGCACCACGGUGCGGGGCGACACUAUAACUCUGUUCAGGACCUAACGAGAAAUCGAGAGUUAAUGGACUUCAGGGGGAGUAUGGUCGCAAGUCUGAAACUUAAAGGAAUUGACGGAAGGGCACACCAGGAGUGGAGCCUGCGGCUUAAUUUGACUCAACACGGGAAAACUUACCAAGACCAGACACUAGGAGGAGUGACAGACUAAGGGAUUUUUCAUGAUUUGGUGGGGAGUGGUGCAUGGCCGUUCUUAGUUGGUGGAGUGAUUUGUCAGGUUUAUUCCGAUAACGAACGAGACUCUGAUCUUUAAUUAGUUGCGCACGACAAGUUGUGCGCAGCCACGGCGCCCCUCGGGGCACUUCUUAAAGAGACUUGCUCCAAUUUUCCGGCUGAAGCCUCGAGCGACGGGCGGAAGAAGGAGUGGGAAGAAGAGCAAUAACAGGUCUGUGAUGCCCUUAGACAUCUUGGGCCGCACGCGUGCUACAAUAGCAGGCAUAGAGAGUAGCGGGGGCGAUAGGCGUGGGGCCACUCCGGUGGCUGCGCGCGACUAGGCCUGUGCACCGAACCCGAACGGGGGAGGAAAACUCGAAAGGCUGCUGUAACUGGGAUUAACGAUUGGAAUUAUUCGUUAUGAACGAGGAAUUCCUUGUAAAAUUUUGUCACUAGCGAAAGUUGAAUACGUCCCUGCCCUUUGUACACACCGCCCGUCGCUCCUACCGAUUGAGUAAGAAGAUGAAGGUUUAGGAGGCCACGGCCAAAUGGAUCUAAAUCUUUUUACUUAGAGG
rnacentral:rRNA from 1 species